GCGGCCGCGUGGGGCCCAGCACAAAGACCUGUCCCCAGGGGCCGCCGCCUCCGCCGCUGCUGCUGCCGCCAGCCUAGAGCCGCCCGCCGAAGCAGAGCCGGCGCCGGGGUCCUCAUCCCCACCGGUCCCGAGGGGCGGCUGCUGCCCGUCGCCACGAGGCCCAGGGGCCCGAGUGCCGAGCCCUUUGCUCCCUCGGCCGCGCGGGGACAGGGCUGCUGAGCAGCCUCCGCCUCUCCCGGCUGUGGGGGCCCCACUGAGUAUGUCGGAGGAGAGCGACAUGGACAAAGCCAUCAAGGCCGCCAGCAUUUGCUUCCGGAUGGUCUACAGAACUUGGAGAGUUGGAAUUUAUCCAUCCCUCCCGAUUUGUUUGAAAUCAGCCUUCUGGAAAUCUGCAGUUGGAAAAAGGAAGCAUUGAGUUUACUUAGGAAAAGUUAACAGUUCCUGUGACUUAACUGCACUUAAACCAAAAGAAAAGCAAAUGUGUGUUCGAAAAU
rnacentral:lncRNA from 1 species